rnacentral:rRNA from 1 species
GAUGAACGCUGGCGGCGUGCCUAAUACAUGCAAGUCGAGCGAACAGACGAGGAGCUUGCUCCUCUGAUGUUAGCGGCGGACGGGUGAGUAACACGUGGAUAACCUACAUAUAAGACUGGGAUAACUUCGGGAAACCGGAGCUAAUACCGGAUAAUAUAUUGAACCGCAUGGUUCAAUAGUGAAAGACGGUUUUGCUGUCACUUAUAGAUGGAUCCGCGCCGCAUUAGCUAGUUGGUAAGGUAACGGCUUACCAAGGCGACGAUGCGUAGCCGACCUGAGAGGGUGAUCGGCCACACUGGAACUGAGACACGGUCCAGACUCCUACGGGAGGCAGCAGUAGGGAAUCUUCCGCAAUGGGCGAAAGCUUGACGGAGCAACGCCGCGUGAGUGAUGAAGGUCUUCGGAUCGUAAAGCUCUGUUAGUAGGGAAGAACAAAUGUGUAAGUAACUAUGCACGUCUUGACGGUACCUAAUCAGAAAGCCACGGCUAACUACGUG